AUGCAUCACCUUGCUGCAAAUUUUGUGAAGAAAUUCAAAGGAAAGGUGUGUACCGACAAUUUAUGGCUAGCAUCUUUGACUUGCAGUGUGAAGAAGCACAACUACCAUUUGAGGCAGUUAUACAUGAAUCCCAAAGUGAAGGAAUACUUGGAAACAUACCACUCCAAGUUACGGGCCAUAAGGCAAUUCAGUGAACUAAGCAAAGUUGACUAUGUGCACAAUAAUCUAGCAGAGUCUUUCAACUCAACGAUCUAG
rnacentral:rRNA from 1 species